ensembl:lncRNA
GGACGGAAAGCAGGGUCAGGGCAGGCAGAAUGGGAAAACCACUGAUGAACAAAACGACCUGGCAACAGACAGGUAUAAAUACAGACAUGUAUAAAUACAGACAGGUAAAAUAAAGACAGGCAACAGACAGGUAUAAUACAGACAGGUAUAAAUACAGACAGGUAUAAAUACAGACAGGUAUAAUACAGACAUGUAACAGACAGGUAUAAUACAGACAGGUAUAAUACAGACAGGCAACAGACAGGUAUAAUACAGACAGGCAACAGACAGGUAUAAUACAGACAGGUUUAAUACAGAGAGGUAUAAUACAGACAGGUAUAAAUACAGACAGGCAACAGGCAGGUAUAAUACCGACAGGCAACAGACAGGUAUAAUACAGACAGGUAUAAUACAGACAGAUAUAAUACAGACAGGUAUAAAUACAGACAGGUUUAAUACAUACAGGUAUAAUACAGACAGGUAUAAUACAGACAGAUUUAAUACAGACAGGCAACAGACAGGUAUAGUACAGACAGGUAUAAAUACAGACAGGCAACAGACAGGCAACAGACAGGUAUAAAUACAGACAGGUAUAAAUACAGACAUGUAUAAAUACAGACAG